GGCGCGAUAGCAAAGUGGUUAUGCACCGGAUUGCAAAUCCGUUGACGGCGGUUCGAUUCCGCCUCGCGCCUCCA
rnacentral:tRNA from 1 species